UCAAUUGGAGUCAACGCCAGAAAUCUUACCCGGAGAGACAGCAGAAUGAAGGUCAGGCUGAAGACCUUACCAGACAAGCUGAGAAGUAGUGCAUGGCCGUCGUCAGUUCGUACCGCAAGGCGUUCUGUUAAGUCAGAUAACGAACGAGACCCUCAUCCCUAUUUGCUAACCCGAUCUCCGGAUCAGGCGCACUAUAGGGAGACCGCUGGCGCGAAGUCAGAGGAAGGCGAGGGCAACGGUAGGUCAGUAUGCUCCGAAUGCUAUGGGCUACACGCGCAAUACAAAGGACGGGACAAUGGGCUGCUGCUCCGAAAGGAACGAUGGCUAUCCCGAAACCCGUUCGUAGUUCGGAUUGAGGGCUGUAACUCGCCCUCAUGAAGCUGGAUUAGGUAGUAAUCGCGUCUCAAAAAGGCGCGGUGAAUAUGCCCCUGCUCCUUGCACACACCGCCCGUCAAACCAUCUUAGUUGGGGGUGGGUGAGGCUGCCUUUUAGUGGGGUAUUCGAGCCUGCCUUCGACAAGGAGGGUUAAGUCGUAACAAGGUAUCUGUAGGGGAACCUGCAGAUG
rnacentral:rRNA from 1 species